rnacentral:rRNA from 1 species
GUAUGGUACAGUAGAGCACCCAGUCGUGGUGGACAUGGGGGUAACGGAGGAGGCUUCGAUCGACCCCGGUCGUUACGAAGUGUUUUUGUUAGUCAUUGGGCUGGUGGCGGUGGAGGUGGUCCGGGUGGAGGAUUCUUAAGAAGUUUGAGAAACGGUUCGUUUCCUUGGCAACAGUCACGACGGGGUGGCGGCGGAGGAUGUAAUAGUAAACCACGUUUCCCGGCGUCGCGUCAGGCCAGUUUUUCGGGAUCUCCAAACGCACGGUUGGUCGGUAGGUUCUCCUGUGGAGACUUCGGUAAUGUGACCCAUUUUCACAGUUCUGGUUGUGUCCCUUCGAAUACCCGUCUAUGUGUCUUCAGACUACUUCGUAGAUCCUGAGGUCUCUAACUAGACAGACUCGAACUUUCAGAAAAGAGUCAUAGGUACGGUUCAUACCUACGUUUUGCCUGUGCGGUUGCAGGAGGACAACGUAGUUUUGUUCUUUUUCAAGUGAACUAACUGGAGGUCGCAAGUUUCUUAACACUUUAAUACGACGCCUUGUAAUUCUACGGUAACGGACUAAACUACCGAAGUCACGAAUGGGAACUACUAAGGUAGCAACUACCACUAGUUCAUCUAAUAGACUAUUUCAAGACGGGUUGAUUCCUUCUUUACCUUGACGAGUUUCCAAUAUGUCCGUCGUUUCUAUUAGAUCCUUUUACACUCGUCAAGAAGAACCUUUACUACUUUCACGGUUCCCACCUCAGUUUUGACUCUUAGAAUAGGAAAUUCUAUUUCAAAGAAUGUGUCCAACGUCUGCACUUUUUAUUGAACUUAUGGUAAUUACUACAACGACUUCUCCAAUCCUUGAGACUGUUCGAAUUCGCUCACUACGUUUGUUAAGAAAGGAACCCCUUACGUAAUUUGGUUCCUUGACGUUCCCCAAGUCGGUAACCUAAAUCUAAUCUAUCAGAAGAAUUCGAGUAACUAUAUGCCCGUGCUUUGUUAUUCUACUGAGAGUACGUAAUAAACACGUUCCAAGAACGUCCGUUCGAAGGACUUCAAGAACUAAAACAAUUCCUAGAACGCGUAAAUCUUGGGCGGUGUUUCUAGGUUAACUUUCUGAACCGCCUCCUUUACGUUCGCUAUUGAUUCCCUGAUCUUUUCCAACUCGUCCUUGACCGUUGUAGACUUUUUCUACCAGGUCACAGACUCUGCAAAAUGUUCUUUGACUUCCUUAAAGACCGACUACGGGUUCGACUUCCCUCCAGUAAUCGAAGCGAAAUGUCAUGUCGCCCGUUUUCGCGCCUAAGAGAUCGUGUAAUAAAACCACUUCUAGGACACGCCACAGGUAAACUCGUUCAACAGAGGUGAGACGAUUCGAAGCACUUUUGAAAGCUCGCCCGCGUACGGCUCUUGGAGUCCGUCCGCCUCCGCCUCUUCUUCUUUCGGGUCUACCUUCGGCUCUCUCUCUUCCGCUUCCGUCGACGGCGAGUGUUCUUCCGCCCCAGCGGCCUCGGUCCCCAAAGGCUGGCUACUGACUGGGCAGCAGCUUUGAAUCUGUCCUGGCUAAAGGUGAUUAAAGAAUGGCACACUUUCACCUCCGGUCCUUCUGUUUCGAGGCACAUUUUUCUUUCAGUGUCCGUCAUCACGUAUGGUUACACCGUUUACACUAACUAUCCAUCUGAACUAUAUCGCUGCGCAAAUCGUGCAUCGGCAUAUCACGUGACGACGAGUGACAGGUAUCCCUUCAUUUCGAGUAUGUCAAAACAUGGCGACGAGUGACAGGUAUCCCUGUCUUCAACCAUGUAUGUAUACAACAUAUAAGACCCCCAAAAAGGGGACCGCUGUUUGUUUAAAACAUUUACCAAGGAAAGUAUGCAAAUGUUGAUACACAAUCC